UUUUGUAAAAAUAAAUAAAUAAAAUAAAUAAUGUAGUGAAAUUUGAGACUUAGAGCUGCUUGUAUAUUCUUAAUUUUGGCCUCCCUAUGCUUAUGCACAAUGACACAGUCUUUAAUUACAGAGUCAUGUACUGUGUUUUCCCCCCACCUAGGAGUUACACUUCAUUCAGUGCACAGGAGGGAUAAUGCUCACUUAAUGACUGGCUGCCUGCAUAGUUUUUACUCUUUUUGUUCUGUGUGUGGCUGUAGGCUUUAUUUACUACACUCUAUUCAAAACAUGCUCUAAUGACCAAGUUAAUCAUUUCUACUUGGUCUUUUCUGUGGUUCUUAUCACUUUAGGCUCUUAGUAUUCACAAGUGUUAUUAGUGUUUUUUUUUUCCUUGCCGUACUCAGUUUUCAGCAUAGAGACCAUAUUUCAGGUGAGCAGUUGAAGACCUGAAAAGCAAACGUAAAAAGUUUUUGCUGAUUUUGCAUGCUAAGGCUCAAUGAGCAGUGCCUGGUAGUUCACAGGUUUUCUUUAUUACAUAGCACUUAAUCUGUUCAAGGAAGAGGUCCUCUUUGUGAGUUUUCAGUACUUAUUCAAACUCGGUACCCAAAAGACCAAGAACAUAUAAUAGUCAUCCUUAAGGUGCUGCUUUUAAUGAUACAAUGUGCAGGAAAAGAAGGGAUGGAAGCCAGUCCUUCGGGGCAGCACUGUCUGUAGGAAUAUUGUUUCAUUUCACAUUUGCCACAUGAUUUCUCCUGAGCAACAGUUCAGACAAGGGCACUAUGGAAAACAGGUUUAAUAUAUAACGUAUUUAGGGCACUAUGGAAAACAGGUUUAAUAUAUAACGUAUUUUGAGUCCAAAUGGAUGCCAAGAAUAGAUCCAUUCUGAUCACUGAUUAGGAAAAUGGUGUGAGGUAAAAAAUAAAUUCAGUUUAGGGUUGUAUCACCAUCACCAUCACUGCCCUGGCAGUGUGCAAUAGUAAACAUUCUGUUUUGAAUGCAAAGGGGAAAAAACAGACAGAAAAGACAGGAGGAAAAAAAAAAAAGAAAAAAAAAAAAGACAAGUAUUACUAGAGUCUCAAUACGUGAAAGGGAGGAGAGAACAUGGGACUGCAUAUAAGGAGGGAUGGCAGACUUGCAGUAGUUAAGCAAAAGACAAUUAGGUGAGAUGGUGCAUACCUUGGGGUAGGCUCUGUGUAUCUGUACCCAUCUGGCACUUCAGUCCCAUUUUCCAAAGAGACUUCCCAUGGAAAACCAUGGUCUACUGACUCCUAUGUUUUUGUUGUUGUUGUUUGUUUGUUUGUUUUUCCUCAAACACCAGGCAGUUCUUUCCUCUCUUUAAAAAUUUCCUAUCUCACCAUAUUCUUUGACCACAUUACUUUCAUUCUUGUUCUGCUCAGGCAGUUGAAAGAGGCAGCUUCUGUCUCAGUUCUGCUAGGUGUUUGAAGAGAGAUGGGAGGCAGGCUUUCUGCUCUGACUUUUCUGCCUGGUUCUUGUCUGGCUCAGAUAGUGCAGGGAGGGACUCAGAAAUGCCAGAAAAAGCAUUUCUAAGCUCCUGGAGCCUUGGGCCGGUAAGUGUUUAGUUUCUUUGUGUCACUGAUAGCUGGAAUUCUAACAAGUUUUUGAGAAAUGUAGCUGUUUGUCUUGAUAGUGUGUUUUAAUACACUGAUAAGCCUUUAACAAUUAUAAUUUUGAACUUCUGCUUGGCAAAUUGGGACAGAUUUUCAUGGGUCUGUGAAACGCCCCAUUUACAGAAGUCUGUAACUCACUCCUGCCUAAUCUCCCUGCUCCAGAUCAGUGAAAUAGCAGAGCUGCUCAGCUGCUCACCAGCCAUUUUUAACAUAUGCCAGAUAUUUCUCAAGACCAGCAAAGCUGUUACGCAGAAUAAUUCCCAUUUUGUUUCUGCCUUUUUCAUGCUUCCUUUGCUCUAAAGCUAACAAAUAAACAAAACAAAAGAAAGAAAAACACACAACCCCCACCAAUGUAAGAGAAAAAAAAAAAAAAAAAAAAAAAAGAUUAUUAGCUGCAGUUUAAGCAAUUUAAAACUAGUUAAUGAAACACGAAGGAUCACAUAAUCUUAAGCAUACCCACUCCUGUCUAUAUGGUGGUAGUAGUAUUGAUUAUUUUUCUUUCUGAGAUUCUGUUAACUAUAAGUGGGAUGAUAACACAUGGAUUCCUGAAGUAAAUAAGUCUAUGGGAUUUCCCACUACACUUUUUUU